UUGCUWUAUCAAUWAGCGGAGGAAAAGAAACCAACAGGGAUUGCCUCAGUAACGGCGAGUGAAGCGGCAAAAGCUCAAAUUUGAAAUCCCCCGGGAAUUGUAAUUUGAAGGACCUAUUAAAACCCUGAGAGAGCCCAAAGUCCAUUGGAAAAUGGCGCCAUAGAAGGUGAUAGCCCUGUGUGGACCUCUCUCAGCAUACUUUUUAGGCCCAAAGAGUCGAGUUGUUUGGGAAUGCAGCUCUAAGUGGGUGGUAAAUUCCAUCUAAAGCUAAAUAUUGGCGAGAGACCGAUAGCGAACAAGUACAGUGAUGGAAAGAUGAAAAGCACUUUGAAAAGAGAGUGAAAAAGUACGUGAAAUUGUUGAAAGGGAAGGGCUUGCAAGCAGACACAACCUCGGUUGGGCCAGCAUCGGGGCGGGGGGAAACAAAAAAGGUGUGGAAUGUGGCUCUUACGAGUGUUAUAGCCCCACCCAAUAUUUCCAUCCCAUCCCGAGGCCUGCGAUUCUUCAAGGAUGCUGGCGUAAUGGUUGCAAGUCGCCCGUCUUGAAACACGGACCAA
rnacentral:rRNA from 1 species